ACCCUAUGUCCCCAUGAGUUUUUAUGUCCAACUUUGAUUAUCCGUUUUAUUUGAAUUUUUUAUAUGAUUAGAUGAUAAAACGUGGAUAUUACUUUAUGCGUAAUUUAUGUUUUUUUAAUCUUUUAAAAAAAUUAAGACAAACGAUUAAAAUUGGAUACGGAAACUCAUGGCUACGCUUAAA
rfam:Oryza meridionalis cultivar OR44 (W2112) chromosome 9, whole genome shotgun sequence.